CGUUGGAACACCAGUUCCCGUACGAUCACCGAAGUUAAGCAAAGUCGAGCCUGGUCAGUACAUAGAUGGGUGACU